UACGUAGGGUGCAAGCGUUUGUCCGGAAUUAUUGGGCGUAAAGAGCUCGUAGGCGGUCUGUCGCGUCGGCUGUGAAAACUCGGGGCUCAACCCCGAGCCUGCAGUCGAUACGGGCAGACUAGAGUGCUGUAGGGGAGACUGGAAGUUCCUGGUGUAGCGGUGAAAUGACGCAGAUAUCAGGAGGAACACCGGUGGCGAAGGCGGGUCUCUGGGCAGUAACUGACGCUGGAGGAGCGAAAGCGUGGGGAGCGAACAGG
rnacentral:rRNA from 1 species